CGCAGCCGCGGUAAUUCCAGCUCCAAUAGCGUAUAUUAAAGUUGUUGCAGUUAAAAAGCUCGUAGUUGAAUUUCGGGGUUCUACCGUUGGUCGGGCUUUGUCUGUACUGGCGUGUAGAAUUUCUACCUUCUGGGGAACCAUCAUGUUAUUAAUUUAACGUGGUGGGAAACCAGGACCUUUACCUUGAAAAAAUUAGAGUGUUCAAAGCAGGCUUAUGUCUGAAUACAUUAGCAUGGAAUAAUAAAAUAGGACGGUGGUCCUGUUUUGUUGGUUUCUGAAUCACCGUAAUGAUUAAUAGGGAUAGUUGGGGGCAUUAGUAUUCAAUUGUCAGAGGUGAAAUUCUUGGAUUUAUUGAAGACUAACUUCUGCGAAAGCAUUUGCCAAGGAUGUUUUCAUUAAUCAAGAACGAAAGUUAGGGAUCGAAGACGAUCAGAUACCGUCGUAGUCUUAACCAUAAACUAUGCCGACUAGGGAUCGGACGAUGUUAAUUUUCUUGUACUCGUUCGGCGUCCGUUACGGGAAACCAAAGUCGUUUUAGGGUUCGUGAGACA
rnacentral:rRNA from 1 species